CCAGAGAAUAAUGGGUUCCAAGGUGGGAACUCGGGUGUGUCGAGGAUGGGAACGAAGCCAGAGACCAGAGGUACAAUUACUUCUGACACUCUUCACAGGUUUGUUGAAGGACCACCUGACAUGGUUAAACAGCCCUGGCUUAACGUUCCAGACACUGCUGCCAAUACUUGCGGCUGUUAGUUCCUGAUUUCUGCUUAAGGUCGGUACUUUCCAGUAAAAACCGCCUAGAUACGCCUCUGCCCAUAUUUGACUAACAAAAUGCGUGUUAGCACAGCUUCCUGAUGAGCUGUCUUGCAAAUCUGUCCUAUGCUGCAGGCUUUGCAGUUCUGCUUAUAGUCCUGUGAUCAGAGACACUUCCUCCUGUGGCAGCUGAAUUCCACGUUUCCCGAAACAGGAUUUCCCUAUUUUGUAGAGAACUUCCAUGAUUGAAUCUUCCUGCUUCUGGAAAUAAAAUGGGUAGUCCCUUGCAUACAAAGCUUGGAGGGUGUCUCUCAUUCUUCUCUUCUUCUGCUUUUUCUCAUCUACCUGAGAAUAAUUUUAAAUGGAUCGAAGGAAUGAAUGUCAGCCACCAAACUGAGAAGUUGACUUGCCUUUAAUCACCUGUAACUUUGUUAGAAUAAUAAAUUCUGUAGAAAGCUAA
rnacentral:lncRNA from 1 species